UACGAGGGGGGCAAAUGUUGUUCGGAAUCACUGGGCGUAAAGGGAGCGUAGGCGGGUUUCUAAGUCAGGUGUUUAAUCCCGGGGCCCAACCCCGGACAGGCACUUGAAACUGGGAAUCUUGAAUAGUGGAGAGGUCAGUGGAAUUGGGGGUGUAGCGGUGGAAUGCGUAGAGAUCCCCAAGAACACCAGUUGCGAAGGCGGCUGACUGGACAAAUAUUGACGCUGAGGCUCGAAAGCAUGGGGAGCAAACAGG
rnacentral:rRNA from 1 species